CAAUAGCGUAUAUUAAAGUUGUUGCAGUUAAAAAGCUCGUAGUUGGAUUUCUGGUGGGAGCACGGGUCGGCCCUCACGGGUUGUACUGUUGUUGCGUCCUGCCGUUUCGGAGGGAAUGGCCUCGCUAUUAAGUUAGCGUGGUCGGGAACUCUGUCGUUUACUGUGAAAAAUUAGAGUGUUCAAAGCAGGCAUUCGCUUGAAUAUCUCAGCAUGGAAUAAUAGAAUAGGACUUUGGUCUUAUUUUGUUGGUUUCCGAGACCGAAGUAAUGAUUAAUAGGGACAGUUGGGGGCAUUCGUAUUUCAUUGUCAGAGGUGAAAUUCUUGGAUUUAUGAAAGACGAACUUCUGCGAAAGCAUUUGCCAAGGAUGUUUUCAUUAAUCAAGAACGAAAGUUGGAGGCUCGAAGACGAUCAGAUAGCAU
rnacentral:rRNA from 1 species